CCUACGGGUGGCUGCAGUGGGGAAUAUUGGACAAUGGGCGAAAGCCUGAUCCAGCCAUGCCGCGUGUGUGAAGAAGGCCUUCGGGUUGUAAAGCACUUUCAGUGGGGAAGAAAGCCUUGGGGCUAAUACCCUCGAGGAAGGACAUCACCAACAGAAGAAGCACCGGCUAACUCCGUGCCAGCAGCCGCGGUAAUACGGAGGGUGCGAGCGUUAAUCGGAAUUACUGGGCGUAAAGCGCGCGUAGGCGGUCUGAUAAGCCGGUUGUGAAAGCCCCGGGCUCAACCUGGGAACGGCAUCCGGAAACGUCAGGCUAGAGUGCAGGAGAGGAAGGUAGAAUUCCCGGUGUAGCGGUGAAAUGCGUAGAGAUCGGGAGGAAUACCAGUGGCGAAGGCGGCCUUCUGGACUGACACUGACGCUGAGGUGCGAAAGCGUGGGUAGCAAACAGGAUUAGAUACCCUAGUAGUC
rnacentral:rRNA from 1 species